rnacentral:rRNA from 1 species
AACGGCCGCGGUAUCCUAACCGUGCGAAGGUAGCGUAAUCACUUGUUCUUUAAAUGAGGACUAGUAUGAAUGGCACCACGAGGGUUAAACUGUCUCCUUUUUUUAAUCAGUGAAACUAAUCUCCCCGUGAAGAAGCGGGGAUUCUUUUAUAAGACGAGAAGACCCUAUGGAGCUUUAAACAAGUUAACACCUGCUACUAAUCCUCACUUUCCUGAACCACCACAUUAAGUAUAGCACCUCUGAUUAACAGUUUUCGAUUGGGGUGAUCAUGGAGCAAAAAUCAACCUCCACGACGAAAAGGAACACCUCCUUGAGCCAAAAGCUACAACUUUAAGCACUAAAAAACUAACGCACUUUGACCCAAUUCUUUGAGCAACGAACCAAGUUACCCUAGGGAUAACAGCGCAAUCCACUUUAAGAGCCCCUAUCGACAAGUGGGUUUACGACCUCGAUGUUGGAUCAGGGUAUCCCAGUGGUG